CCUCGUGGGAUGCCGUCGACCACAUUUAGCUUCUCUCCAAUCUUAUCAAGCCGUGGUGGAAGCAUGCACAGAGGCGAAACAUUGGGUUUGAUCCUGUCUUGCUGUCAGCAACUGUUCUAAGUUGUCGUUCCUUGGGAACAUCUUUUGUUAUGGAUGAGAUGUCAGAAUCUGUGCUGCUGCUUCUGCUGGCUUCUGAUUUGCUUCGUCUUCUUUUGGAUGCACGACCGUGCGUACGAAGGCUGUGGCCCUCACGGCACUGUACGCAGGAUCCACUUCAUAUCAUUGGUGGUGCAAGUCGUAGAUAAUGGGGAAUGGAGAAUGAAAGAAGGGCUGUUCGUGUGACUGCACGCUGAGGCUGUGUACCGAGCACUAAGCAGGAGUUUUGACUGCUUAUAAGAGACGAGUUCUGCUUGAACUUGAUGAUGCAUAUGAUCGUGGACUGCUGGCGGCAGCUAUAGCCAUUGCCGGCGUAGUGAGCUCAUCCUGCAUUGCUGAGCUUGUGGAACCUGCAGAGCGCAGUGGCUCAACCAGCCUUUCUCAGUCUGCGUGCUGCUCAUCUGCAACUGACCACCCAUUGGAGCUUCUGUUCCUCCCAUUAUUUGCUGCAGCGUGCUUCUGACGACCGUGUUGGACUUGCAGAGAGACGCUCAACCUGCUGCUGUUGGAGUUGUGAUGGGUGAAGCAUCUGGGAACAGUAAAAGUGGACCAGCCACUAAAGCAAAAGGCAUUGCCUGGGGAAGGAGGAAGAGAGGAAGCCAUUGUUCUUUGGUACAUUCGGUCAUGGAACAUCCUUCGAAGCUGUCGAGCUAGAAUUAAUUGAUUCUCUUGUUCAGUAGCUAAUUAAUUUACUGACUUCUUCUUCUGCUGUGGGCUUUCUCGAGAUCAUUCCUUCCUUUGGGGUUCCAUAAACUCUGUGAUACAGAUAUUAUCUCCAUCAUGAAGAAACCUAAGCUUUCGGAAAGCCAAAUUAUUGUAUAAAUAUCUCAGGAUUUGAUUGAUA